AGGGACAGGGCAUCCACAACCUCUCUGGGCAGCCCGUUCCAGCUGCGUCCCAUUUCAUCAGCUCUCCACUGGGCUCACUGCUGCUGCACUCAGACAGAGCACUGAGCAAGAACACUGCCUUGGGACAUUGAAAUCACCACAGACAUUAAACAGGCAACAGAGCUGAGGCAGACGGGCUGUAUCCCUGACCUCCCGUGCUGAUGUGCACCAUGCUGCCAAGGAGUGGAAAACUACCUGCUGAGUCACUGGAUGAUGCUGAACGUCUUCAACAGCAAGAAGUCAAAAAACCCAGCAGAGAACAGCUUCAGGUUGGGUGUUCUUGAAAUAAGAUGAGGUGGAAACAUAUGUUUGGGGCACAGAAAAUUUCCCAGCAAAGCAUCAUGUCCAUGACCAACCACCUGCUAAAAGGAGAUGCCUCUUCCUGCAGCUGCAGAUGAUGCUCCUUGUGCAGUGCAGCCAGCAGGACUGGUAUCUCAGUUAUCUGAAAAAUUACACCACAAAGUGACCCCUCUGCCACAACCGGCCUCCAAAAGGGAUGGCCAAGCGUCCACAGCACCACACAGCAGCAGUGAGAUUCUACCCAAGGGAUGGUCCCGACCCUCAGCACUGCCUGGCUGAGCACUGCGAGAUGCUGAAAGUUCAGACACUCCUCCAAUUCCAGUAGGAAUGACGGCAUCGGUCCCAGCACAGAGCUUACAGCCAGAAAACAGCAAACAAAUGAGACAGCGAGGCAGACCUGUCUGCAAAGCAGCGUGGUAACAAGAACCCUCUCUGGCUGCCAUGGCAAAACUGGGAAAUGGUGGACUGCUCUCUGCUCGCCCUCUGAAGACAUUAGAAAUGAUAAGGUUACAACAGAGCAGCUCACAGCAGAACAAGAGAUGGGCAGUGAGAGAGCCCAGCUCUCAGGACUUGACAGUGACGGAUGUCUUGCCAGGCAUCUUACAAAACCAACCAAGUGUGGAAUUAGACGUGGACAGCAUCGUGCAGCUGGCCGUCAUAAUAGGGAAUGUGAUGAUCUGAAGUCGGUUAAGAUAAACAAGAUAGGUCUGUCUUCAUUUUACAAAAGGAGAGCAAGCAGAAAACGGGUUCAGAGACAACUGGUCUAGAGAGCUGAGCACCUUCAGUGUGCAACUUCACACCAGCAGUCUGCAAGACAAAGAUGUGCCAAAACAGUCAGAACUCACAAGAUACGUGAGUUACAUUUGCUCCUGUAUUCCCGACCCAACCAAACUAUGGCAGACUGUAUAGAAAUAAAGGCGUCGUACU
rnacentral:lncRNA from 7 species